UAUAGACUGCAGUAACUGCUCAGCAACUCAGUAACACCAGCGACAUCAUGAGAACUCUUUGCCUUAUCAUCCUUGUAGUGGCGUGUGUAUGGCAGUGUGCGCGCGCGCAGGGCAGCAUAGACAAGUGCGGCCUCACACAGGAGAUGUACAAGAAUCUCAAGAGCUAUGUAUUAAGGAACUUUCCACUUUUAAUUGCUACAGACAUAUUGGAUAAAAUAUUUGCUAUUUAAAUCAAAGGUUGAAUGCAAUCUUGUUCGCACUAUGUAUUUCCAUAAUAAUUACCUAUCUGUGCUGUAAUAAAUGUAUGAACUGUAAUAAAGUAUUCAUUUGAGACAAAAA